rnacentral:rRNA from 1 species
CAGCCGUAAACUAUGCGCGUUAGGUGUAUCGGUGACCACGAGUUACCGAGGUGCCGAAGGGAAACCGUGAAACGUGCCGCCUGGGAAGUACGGUCGCAAGGCUGAAACUUAAAGGAAUUGGCGGGGGAGCACCACAACAGGUGGAGCCUGCGGUUUAAUUGGACUCAACGCCGGGAAGCUCACCGGAUAGGACAGCAGAAUGAUAGCCGGGCUGAAGACUCUGCUUGACUAGCUGAGAGGUGGUGCAUGGCGUCAGUGACU